GGUGUAGAAAAUUUAGGGUGCUCAACAUUUAAACUUGCAGCGCGAACUGUCAGAACUUGAGUACACGCAGCGCAGGGCGGAAUUCAUGGUGUAGCGGUGAAAUGCUUAGAUAUCAUGAGGAACUCCGAUCGCGAAAGGCAGCCUGCGGGAGUGUUACUGACGCUUAAGCUCGAAAGGUGCGGGUAUCGAACAGGAUUAGAUACCCUGGUAGUCCGCACAGUAAACGAUGGAUGCCCGCCGUUGGCGCCCUGCGCCUGCGGCCAAGCGAAAGCAUUAAGCAUCCCACCUGGGGAGUACGCCGGCAACGGUGAAACUCAAAGGAAUUGACGGGGGCCCGCACAAGCGGAGGAACAUGUGGUUUAAUUCGAUGAUACGCGAGGAACCUUACCCGGGCUUGAAUUGCAGUCGCUGCCCACAGAGACGUGGGCUUCCCUUCGGGGCGUCUGUGAAGGUGCUGCAUGGUUGUCGUCAGCUCGUGCCGUGAGGUGUCGGCUUAAGUGCCAUAACGAGCGCAACCCCCUUUCCCAGUUGCCAUCGGGUUAUGCCGGGCACUCUGGGGACACUGCCACCGCAAGGUGCGAGGAAGGUGGGGAUGACGUCAAAUCAGCACGGCCCUUACGUCCGGGGCUACACACGUGUUACAAUGGCCGGUACAGAGGGACGGUGCAAUGCAAGUUGCAUCCAAUCUUGAAAUCCGGUCCCAGUUCGGACUGGGGUCUGCAACCCGACCCCACGAAGCUGGAUUCGCUAGUAAUCGCGCAUCAGCCAUGGCGCGGUGAAUACGUUCCCGGGCCUUGUACACACCGCCCGUCAAGCCAUGAAAGCCGGGGGUGCCUGAAGUUCGUGACCGCGAGGAGCGACCUAGGGCAAGGCCUGUAUUGGGGCUAAGUCGUAACAAGGUAGCCG
rnacentral:rRNA from 1 species